UACAGAGGGUGCGAGCGUUAAUCGGAAUUACUGGGCGUAAAGCGUGCGUAGACGGUAGCGUAAGUCAGAUGUGAAAGCCCCGGGCUCAACCUGGGAAUUGCAUUUGAGACUGCUCUGCUCGGGUGCGGAAGAGGGAAGCGGAAUUUCCGGUGUAGCGGUGAAAUGCGUAGAUAUCGGAAGGAACACCAGUGGCGAAAGCGGCUUCCUGGUCCGACACCGACGCUGAGGCACGAAAGCUAGGGGAGCGAAUGGG
rnacentral:rRNA from 1 species